rnacentral:rRNA from 1 species
GACGAACGCUGGCGGCGUGCUUAACACAUGCAAGUCGAACGGAAAGGCCCUGCUUUUGUGGGGUGCUCGAGUGGCGAACGGGUGAGAAACACGUGAGUAACCUGCCCUUGACUGUGGGAUAACUUCAGGAAACUGGGGCUAAUACCGGAUAGGAGCUCCUGCUGGAUGGGGGGGGUUGGAAAGUUUCGGCGGUUGGGGAUGGACUGGCGGCUUGCUAGCUUGUUGGUGGGGUAGUGGCUUACGAAGGCUUUGGCGGGUAGCCGGCCUGGGAGGGGGGCCGGCCACAUUGGGCCUGAGAUACGCCCCAGACUCGUACGGGAGACAGCGGUGGGGAAUAUUGCCCAAUGGGCGGAAGCCUGAUGAGGCAACGCCGCGUGCGGGAUGACGGCCUUCGGUUUGUAAACCGCUUUCGCCUGUGACGAAGCGUUAGUGACGGUACUGGGUAAAGAAGCACCGGCUAACUACGUG